rnacentral:rRNA from 1 species
UACGAAGGGGGCUAGCGUUAUUCGGAAUUACUGGGCGUAAAGCGCACGUGGGCGGCUUUGUAAGUUAGAGGUGAAAGCCUGGAGCUCAACUCCAGAAUUGCCUUUAAGACUGCAUCGCUUGAAUCCAGGAGAGGUGAGUGGAAUUCCGAGUGUAGAGGUGAAAUUCGUAGAUAUUCGGAAGAACACCAGUGGCGAAGGCGGCUCACUGGACUGGUAUUGACGCUGAGGUGCGAAAGCGUGGGGAGCAAACAGG